AACGAACGUUAGCGGCGCGCUUAACACAUGCAAGUCGAGCGAGAAAGGGGCAACCCUAGUAAAGCGGCGCACGGGUGAGUAACACGUAGGUAAUGUACCCUCGGGUGGCGGAUAACCCUCCGAAAGGAGGGCUAAUACGGCAUGAGACCACGACCUCGCGAGAGGAUGGGGUCAAAGCAGGCCUCUGUACACAAGCUUGCGCCUGAGGAUCAGCCUGCGGCCCAUCAGGUAGUUGGUAGGGUAAUGGCCUACCAAGCCGAAGACGGGUAGCUGGUCUGAGAGGAUGAUCAGCCACACUGGAACUGAGACACGGUCCAGACUCCUACGGGAGGCAGCAGUGGGGAAUCUUGCGCAAUGGGCGAAAGCCUGACGCAGCGACGCCGCGUGAGCGAUGAAGGCCUUCGGGUUGUAAAGCUCUGUGGGGAGGGACGAAUAAGUCGGAGCGAACAGCUCCGAUGAUGACGGUACCUCCUUAGCAAGCACCGGCUAACUCUGUGCCAGCCGCCGCUGUAACAC
rnacentral:rRNA from 1 species